rnacentral:lncRNA from 1 species
AGACACAUGGAAGGCAGCUGUGUAGGUGAACACUGCAGCUCACACCUGCCCUGUGUCCUCCGUGGGUGACAUCUGGCUGUCCACACCUGAAGCCCUGAUGUCUGAGGGUUCUCCAGAUGUCUGGGGACUGUUCCUAUCCAGCCUGUGCCCCUGUGCUCUGGUGAGUUUCCCAUCCUCCUUUGUGGUGAGAAUGAAGUCAUGUAACAAGCUUCUGACCAGAAGAGCAAAGCAUGGCACCCCACAGGGCCGCUAACCCAACCUCUUCAGCCUCUGAUGUGGACUGAAGACCAACAACCCUCCAGAAAGCUCCCAGCCUGCUGACACCAGGCUAGGGCUCUGAGACCUCCAGGCCCUGGGUACCACUUCCCAGAGAGCCCAACACACAGGCAGUUGUUGGGUUACAGAGCUGUACCAUUUCAACCAAUGUUUGUUGGUUCUCUACAUAGUCCAUAUCCUGAGUUCUACACCCCCAUAUUCAACCAGCUAUGGCUGCAGUCAGCAGCACACCUCGAUCACAAACUGGCAUCUCCCGUCAGCGCCUGACAAACAACAGGAAAUCAGUGCUGGUUCCACGAGGCUCACAGUACCUAGAGAAACCUGAAGUUUUCCAGACCGCCCCGCUGUCAUGGCAACAGCAGAAGAAACAAACAAAGCUCACAUCAAGCGACUGAACACAAAGCCAUACCAUUAUUUUAAUAAUCGGCAAUGGCCACGCGGGGCUGACAGCAGCAGGCUUUCAGGGCACUGCCGCCAACGUGUCUCUCUCUUGAGAUGUCUUGAAGUGCUCACCGACACGUGUGGGCCUUGGCACUCAGAUCAUGCCUCCAGCUUGGAGUCUCCUCUUGUGUAGACCCUUACUGCCGACAGCGGUCACCAACUAGUGGGCUUGGGAAGCCGGGUGGCCAGAUGGUUAGAGGCCCCAGCCUCAGGCCAAGCAGCCCUGAGUGCAAAUCCAAGCCCUGCACCUUCCAAGCUGGUGAUGGAAGAAAUGGCAGUGCUGGUACAAUUACAUCUCCCUGCUGAACCUCUGUUUACCUGGUGCUACGUGAAGAUCUACUUGGGGAGUCAUUCAAAUUUUAACCAGGCUUUAUUGAAAACCUGCUGGAGCUUC